AUGCAUUUGCCAUGCAAUUGUGACCCUUGCUUGCAUCUACCCAUGAUUCACCAUUAUGAUACUUCUAUGUGUAUUUGCAUGCUUGGUGGAGAUCACUGUUGCUAUUGCCAUGUUUAUCAUGUGCCUCAUACUAUUGUUGAUUCUUGUGUUGGGAGAGUCAUGAUGUUACAUUGCUAUUCACAUAGGACUUCUUGCCAACACCAUGAACCUACUUUCCUCAUAUCUUGCUUUCAUGCUUGUGCUAUGACAUGUGAAUUAUUCAUGCCCACUAUUUGCACACAUAACAUGCUUGCCAUGAUUUCUUCUAGUAUGUUACAUCUUCGCACUACUAGCAUGCUUGACUUGAUCGCUAUGAUUGCUUGCUAUGUUGCAUCACCCAUGUUCCACUCUUACUCGCUUUCUUGGCUUGAUGACAUAGAUGUUGAUGCCUCUCACUUGAUUUUUCAUGAUCAUUGCCUCUUGUCUCCAUUAGUUGCAUCUCUCAUAUCACCUUUUAUUGAGUGCAACUUGCUAUGCUUAUUGAUCUUGGAGACUUGGACACUUUACUUGUGA
rnacentral:rRNA from 1 species